UUAUACUUUGUGAUUAUUAGAAUUUUCCUUAAAAAUUGUUCAUUCUUAAAACCGUGGAAAAGACAAGAACUCUUCUAUAAAAAUUUCCAAUUAAUUGUUUACUUCGGCUCGAAUCAUUCCAAGAGACUUUUGUUGAAAUCACUCGUCCAGAUUUCUUCACGAUAUCGACGGAAAACAAAUCCGCGUAACCUGCAGGAUUUUUCAUCAGAAUUUCGUGUACGAAAUCCGGCUGUUCCCCCGGCGAAAUAGUUGGUAUUAACAACGAUCGAAAUAAUAUUAAUAAAACCGUUGAGAAGUAGCACAGAAAUUAGAAUGCUCGACGCUUAAUUUCGAGCUUGAUUGUGAGAAAUCAAAAUUAUGAAGUACAAAAAAAUACCCUAGAGGUUGGGGUUACUUUCAACGACAACAAAUACACGAUAUAUAGGCAACGAAUGGUUUAGUUGAUCAUCGAGGAUAAUCAGGAAAUAAAGAUAUGUAACGAAUACGGACAGAUGGGCAUAAAUGUACACAUGUAUUUACCCGCCACCGUAACGAAAUGGCCGGUAGAGUGUUGUACGCAUAAUACGCACGAGAAAAUUAUAGAAAUACCGACACAAAUCGAAGUCGAAUAAAUUUUUAAAUCGAAAUACGUGUCGAGAGCAUAAUACGUUUAAACAAUGCAUCAAUGAUAAAAAAAAAGGAAAUGCUACAUUAUUUUUUUAGUCUUGCUAGAGAACACACAGAAUGCAAUUGAAUUUUAUUAGAAUAAUGAACAAAGUGAGAUACACAUUUUUUUCGUUUACAAUUCUGAGGUAUGGAGUAUAUAAACAUCACAAUUUCUUUCUCAUUUGGGAGUACUCAAAAUGUUAAAAAAUCCUUGAUCACUGAUCUAAGAAAAAGUAUAAGGUAUAAAGUUAACUGGCACUCGACACACUGUUGUAAAUAGUGAAUGAGAAAGUAUAUAGUAAGUAAAUAAGCAUUUUUGUGCAUGUAGUCUGAGAACUUACGAAGCAAGAGAUUUUUAAUGAAAUGCAUUAUGUUGUUGCUAUGCUUCCGAUCGAACAGCAAAAUGUUAUGGAAAGUGAAGAGGAAGGAAACAUUAAGAGACAUACUGCUUAGAUUCUAGUUAUAUUUAGCAGAAUAAACUUUACUUACAUUUUUGUAAUUAUAGAAAAUAGCUAAACUAACAACAGGUAUUCAUUUUUUAAGGAACAUAGAACUUGCCGCUGCAAAAAGCAAACCGAUGGAAUUUAAGUUCUGCUCUACGGUAUAUCAAUAAUGUCUCAACUAUGGAACACGCUAUAUUAACUUAUUUGUAAUUAUUCCAAUAAUAUCCUCCAAAGCAUUCUAUCAGGUACUUUCUAAGUGUAAACUAACAAAACAAACCAUCUUCCUACUGCACCUAUACAUACGAAUAAAGUAUUUUGCUCAAGUUUUCGUACUAUGCAUGAAAA